GCGCGAUUAGCUCAGCGGGAGAGCACUACCUUGACACGGUAGGGGUCACUGGUUCAAUCCCAGUAUUGCGCA
rnacentral:tRNA from 1 species